rnacentral:rRNA from 1 species
CCCAAUGGCCCGGUGCUUUACACAUGCAAGUCGAGCGGAAUCUUAGGAUUUAGUGGCGGACGGGUGAGUAACGCGUGAGAAUCUAGCUCUAGGUCGGGGACAACCACUGGAAACGGUGGCUAAUACCGGAUGAGCCGAAAGGUAAAAGAUUAAUUGCCUAGAGAUGAGCUCGCGUCUGAUUAGCUAGUUGGUGUGGUAAGAGCGCACCAAGGCGACGAUCAGUAGCUGGUCUGAGAGGAUGAUCAGCCACACUGGGACUGAGACACGGCCCAGACUCCUACGGGAGGCAGCAGUGGGGAAUUUUCCGCAAUGGGCGAAAGCCUGACGGAGCAAUACCGCGUGAGGGAGGAAGGCUCUUGGGUUGUAAACCUCUUUUCUCAAGGAAUAAGAAAGUGAAGGUACUUGAGGAAUAAGCAUCGGCUAACUCCGUGCCAGCAGCCGCGGUAAUACGGAGGAUGCAAGCGUUAUCCGGAAUGAUUGGGCGUAAAGGGUCCGCAGGUGGCCCUGUAAGUCUGCUGUUAAAGAGUGAGGCUCAACCUCAUAAAAGCAGUGGAAACUACAGAGCUAGAGUGCGUUCGGGGUAGCAGGAAUUCCUGGUGUAGCGGA